UUAUCACACAAGCUAUACAAAUGGUACCAGUCUUCCACCUCUCAUUCUUCAGCUGGAACCUAAUCUCAUCCUCAUCCUACCCGAUCAUAAUAUAUAGCAACCAGUAAAUUUACUCUACCUCGGCUAGAAAUAUUGCUCGCCAAAAUUGCCCUGGUACCAAAAGAAUAUUAACUGAAACAACCAAUAGCCCAAAUCAAUCUACAACUUGAAAGAUACCUUUGGGAUCCUCAUGCUCCCUCUGUAAAAAAAGACUGAAACAAUCGACAUCAUCUAUGUUCUUCAAAAGCCAACUCAGUAGUUUCCCAUUGGAGGCAUCCCAUAUGCCGGCAUCGGACCAGGACCCAUCGGAGGCAUACCCAUCCCACCCAUCGGAGGCAUACCCAUCCCGCCCAUAGGAGGCAUACCCAUGCCGCCCAUAGGAGGUGGACCCCCCAUACCAGGCGGAGCAGGCAAGGCGAGAGGGAGCAAUUG
rnacentral:lncRNA from 1 species